rnacentral:rRNA from 1 species
UACGUAGGGUGCGAGCGUUGUCCGGAAUUAUUGGGCGUAAAGAGCUCGUAGGCGGUCUGUCGCGUCGAUCGUGAAAACUUGGGGCUUAACCCUGAGCUUGCGGUCGAUACGGGCAUGACUGGAGUUCGGCAGGGGAGACUGGAAUUCCUGGUGUAGCGGUGAAAUGCGCAGAUAUCAGGAGGAACACCGGUGGCGAAGGCGGGUCUCUGGGCCGAUACUGACGCUGAGGUGCGAAAGCGUGGGGAGCAAACCGG